UUUAAUAAGAAGAAUAAGGAGAAAUUACACUAGAGGUACCUAACAUUUAGGGUAACUACACCAGGGGUUUUCUAAGUUUUGAAACUCGAUGUUUGGGACUUUGGGGUGCCUCUACCUGGAUGCCAUCAGUUAAGUGAAACCGAAAAUCUGUUCAAAAUACCCCCUAUACAUGACCAAACAGCCCCAUUCUUCUACAUCUUUUGAAAUAUUUCAAAUGGAAUGAUAUGGUUAUACCAUCCUGUUUUAGAAAUUUUAAAUCUUUGAGUUGGAUCUUUAACUUAUGUCAACCACUAAGCUUUACUAGAUCCAUAGUUAUGAUAAUUGAAACCAUUAAUUUUAACAUUCAUCACAUGAUUGGCUGCAUGAUCGAGUGCUUUUGAUCGUCUGGUCAGAGAUCUAACUUUACCAUCGUGCUUAUCAUGCUUUAACAUGCUAAUAAAUGAUCAUGAUAAAAAAAUGAAAGCCGAAAAAUUGUAGGCUAUGAGGUUGAAUGCUAUCGUUUUAAUUAGAAUCUUUAGAAGAUUUUGACGGUCUUAUCUGGAGUCAGACCAUGCCAUCGUGUUUACUGUUUUGAUGGGGUUGUGCAAUGCAAUUUCUUUAUUUUAUUUAUUUUUAUUUAAUUACAAUCACAUCUACACACUACAAUUCUUCGGGUUGCUAACUCAACGGUAGAACAUGAUUUAAAAUGCUAGAUUAAUAGUCAUGAUCGAAGUAAAAGUUUUAUGAAGCCUAAACCUUGAUGGUUGACUCUAUCCUUCCAAUUAGAAUAUGCCAGAAGCUUUUGAUGGUUUGAUCUUAUAUCUCUGACUGUGCCGUCUUGUUUCCCAUGAUUUAAAGUGCUAAAUGAAUGGCCAUCAUCCAGAUCAAUUGUUUAAAUAGGCUAAAGCAUGAUUAUUGAAUCAUAUCCUUCCAAUUGGAAUUUUUUCAAAACGAAUGGCCAUGGUUUAAGUAAAAGAUUAAAAAAUGUUAAAACAUGAUGGUUGAAUUGUAUCCUUCCUAUUGCUAUCAUCCAAUAGAUGCAGAAGGUAGUUAACAAAUGGGCCCCACAGAUCUCCAUGCCGUCUACUAUUUAAUAUUUAAUUUAAACUCCCGUAGACGACAUAUCAGUUGGUCCCUUUAAUAAAAUACUAUUCUACUAUUCUGACAAUACGUAAAAGGAAAAUAUUUAACAAAUUUAAAAACUAUCCUGUACAACUAAGUGUACAUUAUUGCAAUACGUCCAAAGCGCAAAAUACGAAUCAAAGGUCCAAAAUAAAAGGUCAAGCCACAUCCAGUGGUGGUAAUCAUGCUUCCGCAUCAUGAACUCUACCAAUUGAGUGCCCUGAAUGAAGGGUGUGAAACAAUCUAGAAUUAUUUCAUCCUAACGGACUGUUCCUUAAUAUUCUUUUUCGCUUUAUCAAUAAUAGAUUCAGAUAAUGUAAAGGUGGAAGGAGAAAUUUGCUGCUGAAGAUUUUCUCCACUUUUUUUAAUAGUUUUUGAAUUUCUUGUGGCUGAGAUCUACUCUGUUCAACCUGAUGGCAGAUAAUAGUGAAGGGGUUGUGGAUGAAGACAUUGAGGAUGCUGCUAUUGAUGACAUGGAUGAAGUGGAAGAACUUGAAGCAAUUGAUGAUGUGGAUACGAAGCAUAAUAGAUAGUGCAGUUUGCAUUUGGGGGAGGGGAGUUUCUCAGCUGUACCCUGUACAAUAAGGGUAAGAGGACUUCACCACCUAGGACGGUAUGGGUAAGGCUGUUAUACAACUUUACCAAUCCAUGGCUAAGGUAUAUUAGUUGCCAAUUGAUCUAUGGUAUACAGAUAUAGCAAGGAUUUUGACUUCCUGAUUCCCCAUUCCGAGAGAUUUUUUGACAUACUCACAUAUAAGUGUCCCUGCCAUUUUGGCAUUAUUAUGCUUUGUCAUUCAUCUUUACAAUCUAAGUUCCUUCCAGUAAUUAAAGAUUAUACAUUUCUCAAAAUAAUGACAUUUGAUCCAAUGUGGUAUGUAUAUAUUUUUUGCAAACAUAUCAAAUUAGAAAAUUGCUCGAAUUCAUGAAAAUAUGCACAUGGUAAAAUGGGAAGUGAGAACCUUAUACUCUGGAAGUAUCAUGACAUACCACCCUAAAAUGUGAGAUGAGUACAUUACACCAUGUCUAGGCAACCUGCUCGCUGUUAUUAAGAGCUACUGAUUAUUUCAAAGCUCAUAUAAUGUUGGUUACUUGUUCAUAACUGCAUUUUCUAAAGUUGGCAAGAUGAAAAAUCUAUCUGAAUAUCCAUCCUACAUGCAUCCACACACAAACAUAAAGCAAGUACUUGGUUACAGCUACAUUUGUUAUUUAUGAGGACUUAAGAUGUAAAAUCCAAUUAGUUGUGGUAGCUUUGCUUCCAUUUGGAUCACCCAUCUGUAUCCAUAUUUAUAUGUACUGGACUCUUUCCAGGACACAGUGAGGCAAGGAAGUCUGAGAAAAAUGAAGAUUGAAUCUUUCCAUCUCUUUAUAUCUUGCACAUCACCUGGAAUUUGGAUUUUGGUUACAAAAUUGCUACUCUGUUUUUUUCUGUGUAUUUUUGUAGCAUUGAUGGGUUUUGAACAUGCUACUGGAUUUCAAGUUGGUUACCAAUACAAAAUUUUCAGUGUCAAUUAUCUUCCCUAGAGAUUUGGUUUUCAAGCUGGUAACUGAGUAAUGCAAAUAUUGCCCUGGGUGAUCUUUUCCAACUUAUUGGUAGAGACAGUUACAAACUGCAGCACCAUCCACUCUCUCUUUCCUGUAUGUCUGUAUGCAUUUCUGUCUCUGUCUGUCUGUCUUGUCUGUCAGUGAGUGCAACAUUGUAUAGUCGUUCAAGGUUCUGAGCAUUUGAUCUUGAUAAUGUGGCCAUUUUCCCCA